rnacentral:rRNA from 1 species
AGUAGUUUUUUAAUUGGAAACUGGAAUGAAGGAAGUGAUGAGAUUUAUACUGUCUCAAAUUAAAUUAUUGAAUUUAUUAAUUAAGUAAAAAUACUUAGAUAAAUUUAUGGGACGAGAAGACCCUAUAGAAUUUUAUAUAAAUUUGUUAUAAAUGAAUUAGUUGUAGGAUUGAUGAUUUUAUAUUUUAUUGGGAGGAUAGGUAAAUUAGAUAAACUUUAGUUAAUAAUAGACCAUUAAUUUAUGAUUUAUUAGUAAUGAGUGAUUAGUUAUAAAUUUAAGAAGAAUUAAUUACCUUAGGGAUAACAGCAUUAUAUCUUUAAAGAGACCUUAUUAAUAAAGAUGAUUGU